rnacentral:rRNA from 1 species
UAUGUGGUUUAAUUCGAUGCAACGCGAAGAACCUUACCUGGUCUUGACAUCCCGGAGACCCUUAGGAAACUAGGGGUGCUUCCAUCUGGAAGAAUCUGGAGACAGGUGCUGCAUGGCUGUCGUCAGCUCGUGUCGUGAGAUGUUGGGUUAAGUCCCGCAACGAGCGCAACCCUUGCCUUUAGUUGCCAGCAGUUCGGCUGGGCACUCUAAAGGGAACUGCCGGUGUUAAACCGGAGGAAGGUGGGGAUGACGUCAAGUCCUCAUGGCCUUUAUGACCAGGGCUACACACGUACUACAAUGGCCGAUACAAAGGGCAGCGACACUGCGAGGUGAAGCCAAUCCCGUAAAAUCGGUCUCAGUCCGGAUUGGAGUCUGCAACUCGACUCCAUGAAGUUGGAAUCGCUAGUAAUCGUGGAUCAGCAUGCCACGGUGAAUACGUUCCCGGGCCUU